rnacentral:lncRNA from 1 species
CCCCUGUUCAUCGCAUAACCCCUAACUCAUCCCACAGCCCAAGUCACCCCUCAGCUCAUCCCUCAUCACGUAACUCCUACCAACUAUUCCCUAAGCCAUCACCCCCAGCUCCUCACCCACUGUAGGAACCUGCUGAAAGACGGAGCUGGACUCAAGGUCCCUUCCAACCCCUACAGCUCUGCCUGACACCAGCCUCAUCCCUGUCCCCUGCUCAUCCCCGGUCCCUCAGUUCUUCACUCCCCACUCCUUGGUCAGCUCUCGCUUCAUCACUUCACCUUCCCUUUUCAGCUCUCCCCCUGCUCCAGGUCGCUUCCCCAGCGCUACCACCCUCCAUUUCCCAGGCCAGAGGAAGGAGGGCUGACAGUGGGCAGCCCCCCCCGCUGCGGGAGGAGCUCGGCCAGGGGGGAAACUUUUCCGUGCGGCGGAUCCCCCCGCUGUAAACGAAUGAGAAAAGGGGGGGGGAGGCUGCUGCACGCCGCCGGCUGGGCGGGAAGAACGAGGAGGAGGAGGAGGAGGAGGAGGAGGAGGAGGAAGAGGGGGGGCCGGGGGCACGGCCGGGCCUGCGCCGGGGAAUGACGCGCAGCUGGCAGCCCUGCUCAUGCGCGGCCGGCCGGGCGGUGCUAGCGCCGCGUCCCAGCUCGGGGAGAAUGGGGCGGCAUCCGGGCAGCGCCGACUGAGCCGCUUUUGGGGCCGGGGCUGCGCCGAGCCGCGGGCGGCCGGGCUGGGGCUGGGGCGGGCGAGCGGCAUCCGGCAACGGGCGGCGUUGGAGGGGGCGCCACGCCGGGCCGGAGGGGGCUGCGAGCCGCCGGCGGCGCCCGGCGAGGAGGGGUCGGCGGAGGCGGCGGGCGGCGGCGGCGGCAGCAGCAACAGCAGCAGCGGGCGGCGGCGGGGGCUGCCCAGGGAUUGUCUGGUUCGCUCCGCGGCAAGAAAGUUGGGCGGCGGGGAUCCAGCCCCGGAGCGGCGCUGCCCCCGGGGAGGGGAAACCGCGCCUGGAUUAUCCCGAGCCGGGUCGGAGCCUCCUGGAUCUGCCUCUCUUCUUCCGCGCCGAGUGAAGCCGAGAGCCGGAGGUCGAGGUCGCAGCGGGACCGCGUGCGGCGGCGCGAGGCGGCGGCCCGCGACCCCCGCAAUCAAAGCCCAUCAUCGGGUUCCGAAAAGGAGCCGAGCCCGGCAAGAGAACGGAGGCUCAGAACUGCACGGGCCCCUCUCUCGCUGCCCCCACCGCCGCCGCACGCGCGGCCCCCGCGACGCCGCCGCCGCGAGUCCAGCUCCCAGGAAGAGGAUCUGAAGUCGAUGGCUUUGCCAUCAGCCAGCCGUCAACACGCUGAGCCGCUGGAGUAAGAGCCGAAAGGGCGGUGUGGUAUUGUGGGGGGGG